rnacentral:rRNA from 1 species
AGAGUUUGAUCAUGGCUCAGAACGAACGCUGGCGGCAGGCCUAACACAUGCAAGUCGAACGCACCCUUCGGGGUGAGUGGCAGACGGGUGAGUAACACGUGGGAACGUGCCCAUCGGUUCGGAAUAACCCAGGGAAACUUGGGCUAAGACCGGAUACGACCGAGAGGUGAAAGAUUUAUCGCCGAUGGAUCGGCCCGCGUCUGAUUAGCUAGUUGGUGGGGUAACGGCCCACCGUGGCGACGAUCCGUAGCUGGUCUGAGAGGAUGAUCAGCCACACUGGGACUGAGACACGGCCCAGACUCCUACGGGAGGCAGCAGUGGGGAAUAUUGGUCAAUGGGCGCAAGCCUGAACCAGCCAUGCCGCGUGAGUGAAGAAGGCCUUAGGGUUGUAAAGCUCUUUCAGCGGGGACGAUAAUGACGGUACCCGCAGAAGAAGCCCCGGCUAACUUCGUGCCAGCAGCGGCGGUAAUAC